UAAAGAUUCAUCGCUGAUAGAUAGGCAUGCGUUCCAUUAGGCAGUUGGCGGGGUAACGGCCCACCAAACCGACGAUGGAUAGGGGUUCUGAGAGGAAGGUCCCCCACAUUGGUACUGAGACACGGACCAAACUCCUACGGGAGGCAGCAGUGAGGAAUAUUGGUCAAUGGGCGCGAGCCUGAACCAGCCAAGUCGCGUGAGGGAUGAAGGUUCUAUGGAACGUAAACCUCUUUUAUAAGGGAAUAAAGUGUGGGACGUGUCCUAUUUUGUAUGUACCUUAUGAAUAAGGAUCGGCUAACUCCGUGCCAGCAGCCGCGGUAAUACGGAGGAUCCGAGCGUUAUCCGGAUUUAUUGGGUUUAAAGGGUGCGUAGGCGGCCUUUUAAGUCAGCGGUGAAAGUCUGUGGCUCAACCAUAGAAUUGCCGUUGAAACUGGGGGGCUUGAGUAUGUUUGAGGCAGGCGGAAUGCGUGGUGUAGCGGUGAAAUGCUUAGAUAUCACGCAGAACCCCGAUUGCGAAGGCAGCCUGCCAAGCCAUGACUGACGCUGAUGCACGAAAGCGUGGGGAUCAAACAGGAUUAGAUACCCUGGUAGUCCACGCAGUAAACGAUGAUCACUAGCUGUUUGCGAUACAGUGUAA
rnacentral:rRNA from 1 species